rnacentral:tRNA from 1 species
GAGGGUGUAGCUCAGUGAUAAGGUGCAUGCCUAGCGUGUAAGAGGUCCUGGGUUCAAUUCCCAGUACCUCUG